UGGGGAAUAUUGCACAAUGGGCGCAAGCCUGAUGCAGCCAUGCCGCGUGUGUGAAGAAGGCCUUCGGGUUGUAAAGCACUUUCAGCGGGGAGGAAGGCGAUAAGGUUAAUAACCUUGUCGAUUGACGUUACCCGCAGAAGAAGCACUGGCUAACUCCGUGCCAGCAGCCGCGGUAAUACGGAGGGUGCAAGCGUUAAUCGGAAUUACUGGGCGUAAAGCGCACGCAGGCGGUCUGUCAAGUCGGAUGUGAAAUCCCCGGGCUCAACCUGGGAACUGCAUUCGAAACUGGCAGGCUAGAGUCUUGUAGAGGGGGGUAGAAUUCCAGGUGUAGCGGUGAAAUGCGUAGAGAUCUGGAGGAAUACCGGUGGCGAAGGCGGCCCCCUGGACAAAGACUGACGCUCAGGUGCGAAAGCGUGGGGAGCAAACAGG
rnacentral:rRNA from 1 species